CGGCAACAGCUCAAAUUUGAAAUCUGGCCCCCAGGGCCCGAGUUGUAAUUUGCAGAGGAUGCUUUUGGUGAGGCACCUACCGAGUCCCCUGGAAUGGGGCGCCACAGAGGGUGAGAGCCCCGUAUGGUAGGACGCCGAACCUCUGUAAAGCUCCUUCGAC
rnacentral:rRNA from 1 species